rnacentral:rRNA from 1 species
CCUACGGGUGGCAGCAGUAAGGAAUAUUGGUCAAUGGAGGAAACUCUGAACCAGCCAUCCCGCGUGAAGGAUGAAGGGGCUCUGCCUUGUAAACUUCUUUUGUCUGGGGCGAAAAAGCUCGAUUUAUCGAGAACUGACGGUACCAGAAGAAUAAGCACCGGCUAACUCCGUGCCAGCAGCCGCGGUAAUACGGAGGGUGCAAGAGUUAUCGGGAUUAACUGGGUUUAAGGCGGCCGUAGGCGGCAGAGUAGAAAGGCUGUGGCUUAACCAUGGAAUUGCCAUUGAUACUGCAGGGCUUGAAUGAGGUUGAGGUGGGCGGAAUGUGACAUGUAGCGGUGAAAUGCUUAGAUAUGUCAUGGAACACCGAUUGCGAAGGCAGCUGACUGGACCUAUAUUGACGCUGAGGCACGAAAGCGUGGGGAGCGAACAGGAUUAGAUACCCCGGUAGUC